rnacentral:lncRNA from 1 species
AUGACAAUUCUGUCUCUCUCUCUCUGUCUCUCUCUCUCUCUCUCUCUUUGUGUGUGUGUGUGUGUGUGUGUGUGUGUGUGUGUGUGUGUUGAUGUUUCAAGGAAGGUGAAGGUAAUCUUAAUGGUUUUGACAAACCUAUAUAGCAAUGGAAAAUUGGAGAGUAGUAUUGACUAAGGGUGAAGGGUGUUAGGGAUCCAUAUACUUUUGUUACGAUAAAUCUUUCUGCCAAAAGCCGCUGAGCCCCACCGCCAC